rnacentral:tRNA from 1 species
AGUCCAGUAGUGCGAGGCACAUCGAACUGCAAAUUCGAAGACGUCACCUUUAUUUCGUGGCCCGGACU